rnacentral:lncRNA from 1 species
AUGUUCCUUGCUAUGAUACAAGCAAUGACCUUUCUCAUAAACGACAUGCAGAAAGAUCUGUUUCCUUCUAGUUUGCAGAUUUUUAUUUUAUCUUAUUUUUUACAUUACUGUGCCAGUAAUUCAGUCUUUUCUUCACCUAAGUCUGAUUUUUAUUCUAUUUUCCCAGAAUUCAUGUUUUCAACAUGUCUGAAUAGUCUCCUGUGUCUUCACUGGAUGCUCUCCAUGCUCCAUGCUCUUGGUCUUCUCUUUUUUUUUUUUUUUUCCCCUGCCAUCUAUUCCAUGGUCUCAAAGAGGGAUGUAGCUGUGCACUGCCAACAGCACUUAGGGCUUCUGCUUGUGCUGGCCACGGCUUGUAGAUUGUUUCUGAUGUGGUCCUAUGCAAGAAAAGACAUUGUGAUGUAAGACAGUGCAGAAGGAAAGUUCAUGCAGAGGACGCUCCUGCAGCCUCACCUUCUUUUCUAUUAGGCACCGUCUGACAGAUGUGACCUAUAAGUCAGUCUCCAAACAGGUCACUGAGCUGAGGACAGUGAAAUGGAAACCAUGAGUUGAAGCUAUUGAGCAAAUUUCUCAUAAUCUUUGGUAAGCUCCAUCUUCUGCCAUAUGAAAAUCCACUUCAAACUGAUUGUACUAGUUAAGUAUUUUGGUGGCAUGGUAAAGUUUCUGCACACACACCAGCAGUAAAAAAUAACGUCACAAUGCUGGUGACUAAAAGUCAUUAUCUUCUAUAGAGACCAACUUCCCAAUAUCAUUCAAACACCAGACCAUCAGAGUCAUCUGUGAAUAUUUCUUUCGGGGAAAUGAAUCACAGCACGACACAGGAAUGGUGUUACAGUAGUCUUUCCAUGGAGCUCAUAUGUCAGUGUACACCAUAGCACAGGUUCCUGGGCUUGGGAUGGGCUAUCCAGCAGCUGUCAGUUUUAUGCCCCAGGGAUUCAAUAAAGUAAAAAAAUGUUUUAGUCUCCACAGUGUAUCCUAUCCUCACUGUACAGCCUCAACCUCUUUUUCUGCUGUGCUCCACCUCCUUUCAAACUUGGAUGGAGUUCAAACUUGCUGUACGUGGCUUUUCUCUUAUUGCACUCAUUUCUGAAUGGUCUCAGAAAAUCAAAUUUUAGCUGAGGCAGGGGGCAAACUCUGUGCUGGCAGAAAUUGAGUUCUGUUGUGAUUUCGGCUGAGAUAAUUUUCUUCAUAGUAGCUGGUACGGUGCUGUGAUUUGGAUUUAUCAAGGAAAUAGUGAUGAUAACACCUCGAUGUUUCAGUUGUUGCAUAAAAGUACUGCACAGAGCCAAGAACGCUUCAGCUUCUCCUGCUGCCCUGCCAGCAAGGGACUAGGUGUGCACGAGUAGCAGGGAGAGGACAGAAUCGGGACAGCUUACCUAAACUUGCAAAGGUAUGUCCUGUACCAUGCAGUCAUGUGGAAAAAAUUAAAAAAGGAGGAAGAAAGGAGGAAGAGGGCCUCUUGGAGUGAUGCUGUUUAUGUUCCCAAGAAAUCACUAGACACCAUGCUUUCCUGCAAGUACAAUCUCUCUGCUGAUGGGAAGUAGUAGCCUUGCUUUGCUUUGCUUGAAUAUGUGGCUUCUGCUUUAACCAAUAAACUGUCUUUAUCUCAAUUCAGGAGUUCUUGCACUUUUACUUUCCUGUUUCUCCCUCAUCCCACUGCUGGCAGCGAGCAAGCAGAUGUUGUGCUGAGGGGCCUACCAGGGCCAGCCACCAAAGCCCCCAGGGUAAGAUGGGGAUUUAUGUCCUCCUGGCUCAGUCUGAUCCUUUAGCCCCAGUAAAAUCCUAUGCAGGGAAUUGUCCUUUCUCAAUGGGCCUCACACUUGUCUCUAUCUCCACAUGGGAGUCCAAAUGUCAGGCCUCAGCAGCGCUUGGCCUGAGAUUUCUUGAACAGCCCAACAUGCUGUCCCUGCUUUGGUUGCAGCAAGCCAUAGCAGAGCAAGCACAGAAGAUGCUUUCAGCACCUGAAAGUGUAUUGUUAAAUUCUGAUCUGAGUACACACAGUCCCCUAAGCAGCCUCAUAACUCCUCACUUCAACACACUGUGACUUUUAGGGUCAAACAUGGCUUUAAAAUUAGAGCUAACAAGAAGAUGACUAAGAAAAGGGAAGAGGGAGAUAAAGUGAUCUAAAAUUCUAAAACUGAAAAAAUUCUUCCCUCAUGAGUUUGAUAUGCAAAACAGAUGAUCCUUANNNNNNNNNNNNNNNNNNNNNNNNNNNNNNNNNNNNNNNNNNNNNNNNNNNNNNNNNNNNNNNNNNNNNNNNNNNNNNNNNNNNNNNNNNNNNNNNNNNNAUCAGAUAGAAGAAAGUAGCCUGGGAUGAGUCUAUAUCCUGCUGCACUAGAACCACAAGCACGUGAGAGAGGAUAAUACAAUUGAUUAUUCUGCCAAAUAGAAAUGUCCAUCCUUUAGUUGUUCUGUCUGCAGAGAAAACAGUUGGUUUUUUGGUUUUGUUUUUUUUAAUCAGAUUUCCUUUUUUCUUUUUUUAGUCAGUAACCAGCGUGAUACAAAUUGUACUGUUUUUUGAACUACUCACAUUAUGUGAUACUGAAUAACCCAGCCACUAGAAAACCACAGGCUGACUUCCUAGGGAAUGUCUUCAUUAUUAAUCUGUUUGUGCAGGAGCUAGACAAUUUCUCUCUAAAGACGUUUGAAAUGGGAUUGUUCCUCAAGUAAAGCAGUGAAGAAGGCAAGCUGCAAGAU